rnacentral:rRNA from 1 species
GCGGACUUUGGGAGCUUGCUCCCAUUUCGUUUAGCGGCGGACGGGUGAGUAACACGUGGGCAACCUGCCCUGCAGAUCGGGAUAACUCCGGGAAACCGGUGCUAAUACCGAAUAGUUUUUUGCCCCUCCUGGGGCAGAACGGAAAGACGGUUUCGGCUGUCACUGCAGGAUGGGCCCGCGGCGCAUUAGCUAGUUGGUGGGGUAACGGCCUACCAAGGCGACGAUGCGUAGCCGACCUGAGAGGGUGAUCGGCCACACUGGGACUGAGACACGGCCCAGACUCCUACGGGAGGCAGCAGUAGGGAAUCUUCCGCAAUGGACGAAAGUCUGACGGAGCAAUGCCGCGUGAGUGACGAAGGUUUUCGGAUCGUAAAACUCUGUUGUAAGGGAAGAACAAGUACCAAGUAACUACUGGUACCUUGACGGUACCUUACCAGAAAGCCACGGCUAACUACGUGCCAGCAGCCGCGGUAAUACGUAGGUGGCAAGCGUUGUCCGGAAUUAUUGGGCGUAAAGCGCGCGCAGGCGGUCCCUUAAGUCUGAUGUGAAAGCCCACGGCUCAACCGUGGAGGGUCAUUGGAAACUGGGGGACUUGAGUGCAGAAGAGGAAAGUGGAAUUCCAUGUGUAGCGGUGAAAUGCGUAGAGAUGUGGAGGAACACCAGUGGCGAAGGCGACUUUCUGGUCUGUAACUGACGCUGAGGCGCGAAAGCGUGGGGAGC